rnacentral:rRNA from 1 species
CAAUAGCGUAUAUUAAAGUUGUUGCAGUUAAAACGCUCGUAGUUGAAUAUCUGUUAUAAUUGUCCGGCCCACCUCGGUGUGAUCCGGUACACGAAUGGCAUUCGUUUGCUUUGAUUUUCAUUGCAAACCGUUUACUUUGAGGAAAUUAGAGUGUUCAAAGCAGGCAGUCGCCUUGAAUACUUCAGCAUGGAAUAAUUGAUAGGACUUCCGUUCUGUCUUUGGUUCUCGGAACGUGAAGUAAUGAUUAAUAGGGGCGGUCGGGGGGCAUUCGUAUUGAACAGCCAGAGGUGAAAUUCUUAGAUUUGUUCAAGACGAACUACUGCGAAAGCAUUUGCCAAGUACGUUCCCAUUAA